rnacentral:piRNA from 1 species
UGAAAGAAAGGUGCUUAAGUGGGUGCGCUC